UACGUAGGGGGCUAGCGUUGUCCGGAAUCAUUGGGCGUAAAGCGCGUGUAGGCGGCCCGGUAAGUCCGCUGUGAAAGUCGGGGGCUCAACCCUCGAAAGCCGGUGGAUACUGUCGGGCUCGAGUGCGGAAGAGGCGAGUGGAAUUCCUGGUGUAGCGGUGGAAUGCGCAGAUAUCAGGAGGAACACCGAUGGCGAAGGCAGCUCGCUGGGACGGUACUGACGCUGAGGCGCGAAAGCGUGGGGAGCGAACAGG
rnacentral:rRNA from 1 species